rnacentral:rRNA from 1 species
UACAGAGGGUGCAAGCGUUGUUCGGAAUUAUUGGGCGUAAAGCGCGUGUAGGCGGCUUUGCAAGUCGGGUGUGAAAGCCCUCAGCUCAACUGAGGAAGUGCGCCCGAAACUGCAGAGCUUGAGUACCGGAGAGGAUGGCGGAAUUCCCCAAGUAGAGGUGAAAUUCGUAGAUAUGGGGAGGAACACCGGUGGCGAAGGCGGCCACCUGGACGGUAACUGACGCUGAGACGCGAAAGCGUGGGUAGCAAACAGG